AUCUUUUUCAAUUUAGUUCUUCAUUUUUAAAGUCUAAAGUAGUAAGAGAUACUAGUAAAAGAAUGGACAUACCUUUAGAAUUCAAAGUAGUUUUUGUAGAAACAUUGACACCUUAAAAUUUUGGUAAUUAUUUAUAAAUAUGUUUUAACAUUGGCUUAAUGACCUAUAAGUAGAUCUGGUAGACCGAUUCCUUUUCAUGGCCUAAAACUUAAAACUAAUAAAAACAAGUUGGAUGAAAAGUGAACGAACAUAGGAGGAAACUCUAUCAGUGCUAGAGUCUAGGGAAAGGAUGGGAGGGGCAGACAGCCAGAGAUGUGGAAUUUUGCCACAAUGCCACAUUUUAAAAGUUGUGUUUUUGUUUUUGUUUUUUAAGAACUAAAGACAAGAUGCCCAGAACUCUCUUCCUUGAAAAAGCAGAUGGCCUCUUGGGAAGUGCAAAUAGAAGAUCUUGGGCAAUAUGAACGCCUCAUAAUCUGGAGGGACAAUGGUUGGCUGCCUCACUUGGGGUGAAGGGCACAUGUAGAUUCUUGAGAAGGGCUGCGUGAAGAGGCGCUAACCUGUGAGCACCGGGUACCUGGAGAACCAGGCCCCCUCUGCUGGUGGUCCCCCAGGAGCUGUGCCCCAUCAUUCUGGAGCCCACUGACUCCCAGCCUGGUGUGAAAACUGAGGCCCAGAGAGGUGAUGUGAUUUGCCUAAAGUCAUGCAACUAGUGGCAGAGCCAGGCCUAGAAGCCAGGUGUCCUGGCUCUCGAGACAUUCCGCUGCCCGAGGAAUGGAACAGGUAGUAUCACUCGUGCUGGGGGCCGUGGGUCGGUCCGUUCCGCCCAGAGCUGCCUGGGCUUCCAACUAAGGAAGGCAGAGCCGGGCUGUGGUGACUGAGUGGAGAUUCAAGGAACAUUUCCAGCCUCUGGGACAAAUAAGUUACCACCCAAGCAAUGCAUUAGGACAGGGACUCAGGCAUAGGAGUGAAGAAGGGAGAUAUCCUCAGAACUGGGGCAUGCGGUUGCAGGAGCCCAGUUACAAGCUGGACCCUUAAUCAGACCUGAAAUAAUAGCCAGAGGGACUGAGCUCCUGAACCUUUAAAUCUCUCUAGACUGAGAAAAGAAUCCAUUCCACUGAUGAGAACCAUACAACCCAGUCUAUAGAGAAAGUAGAAUUCCUUCAUGGUUGCCAUGACAUUGUGGUUCCAGAGAGUCCUUUUUCUUGAAUUAACCCAGGCAUUCACUCCAUAACUCAGAGGCUGGUUUUGUUGGCAGGACUGUUGAUUAGGACAGAUAUGGAGGCCUUAUCUCCAUCUUCCUUAGUCUUGCUGUGGUUUCUUUCAGCUGCCACCCCCUCCACCAUUCAUUCUCAGGGACAGCUCAUGCUACUGGCUUCCACCCUCGUUGCUUAGUCCCUGUCUGGGACUUCCCUAACCCUUCAGACUUCAUGCUUGACACCAUCUGCACCUGAUUCAGCAUCUCCCUCUGGCUAUACUUCUGUAGUGGACAUGGUGAUCGCUUCUCCAACAUCCAUCCACCCCAUCCCCAUAGCAGCAGAAAUACAGUUUGGGGAAUUGAAAAUCCUGGUCCACAAACUGCCACUGACUCCAUAUGGCGUUCCGCUUCCAUGCAAUCCUUGUCUCGGCACCACUUACUCCAGAAUUGAAGUCCCAGGAGUAAGCACCUGAUCACUCGGGUUCAUGGCUACCUCUUUGGACCUGGCUCCCUCUGCCUCCACAGUGGGAAUUGCACGAAGAGGCAGGUGGCUUCAGUUGCCCUCAUGUCAGACCGAAUCCCAGUGGGUAAUUCCCCCGGAGGAGAUCUGGCACUAAUAAGAAGGGAGGGAUUCUAGAUGAGUGCUGAUCAAUAGAAUACUAAUGCAAGCCACAUACAUACUUUAAAAUCUUCUAGUAACCACAUUUUAAAAGGUAGGAACAGGUGAAAUUAAUUUUAAUGGUACAUUUUAUUUAAUCCGAUAUUUCCAAAAUUUCAUCACAUCAACAUAUGUUCAAUAUUAAAAAAUCAUUAAUGAGGGGCGCCUGGGUGGCUCAGUCGUUAAGCGUCUGCCUUCGGCGCGGGUCAUGAUCACAGGGUCCUGGGAUCGAGCCCCGCGUCGGGCUCCCCGCUCGGCGGGAAGCCUGCUUCUCUCUCUCCCACUCCCCCUGCUUGUGUUCCCUCUCUCGCUGUGUCUCUCUCUGUCAAAUAAAUAAAUAAAAUCUUUUAAAAAAAAAAUCAUUAAUGAGAUAUGUUCCUUUUUGUGGUGGUUGUUAUAAGCCUUUGAGAUCUAGGUUGUAUCUUAUACUCAGCACACCUCGAUCUAGAUGCUAAAUUUUUGUUAGAAAUAUUUAAUCUGGGGCACCUGGGUGGCUCAGUCAUUAGGUGUCUGCCUUCUGCUCAGGUCA